rnacentral:rRNA from 1 species
CAGUAGCCGCGGGAAUACGAGGGGGGCAAGCGUUGUUCGGAAUUAUUGGGCGUAAAGGGCGCGUAGGCGGUUUGACAAGUCUGAUGUGAAAUCUAUGGGCUCAACCCAUAGCCUGCAUUAGAAACUGUCGGGCUUGAGUAUGGGAGAGGUGAGUGGAAUUUCCGGUGUAGCGGUGAAAUGCGUAGAUAUCGGAAGGAACACCUGUGGCGAAAGCGGCUCACUGGACCAUAACUGACGCUGAGGCGCGAAAGCUAGGGGAGCAAACAGGAUUAGAUACCCCCGCGUAGUCCCUGUCUCUUAU